rnacentral:rRNA from 1 species
UACGGAGGGGGCUAGCGUUGUUCGGAAUUACUGGGCGUAAAGCGCACGUAGGCGGCUUUGUAAGUUAGAGGUGAAAGCCCGGGGCUCAACUCCGGAAUUGCCUUUAAGACUGCAUCGCUUGAAUCAUGGAGAGGUGAGUGGAAUUCCGAGUGUAGAGGUGUAAUUCGUAGAUAUUCGGAAGAACACCAGUGGCGAAGGCGACUCACUGGACAUGUAUUGACGCUGAGGUACGAAAGCGUGGGGAGCAAACAGG